rnacentral:rRNA from 1 species
UACGUAGGGCGCAAGCGUUAUCCGGAAUUAUUGGGCGUAAAGAGCGUGUAGGCGGCUCGGUAAGUCCGCUGUGAAAGCCCGGGGCUCAACCCCGGGAGGCGGGCGGAUACUGUCGGGCUAGAGUCCGGAAGAGGCGAGUGGAAUUCCUGGUGUAGCGGUGAAAUGCGCAGAUAUCAGGAGGAACACCAAUGGCGAAGGCAGCUCGCUGGGACGGUACUGACGCUGAGACGCGAAAGCGUGGGGAGCAAACAGG